UACAGAGGUCUCAAGCGUUGUUCGGAUUCAUUGGGCGUAAAGGGUGCGUAGGCGGCGCGGUAAGUCGGGUGUGAAAAUCUCGGAGCUUAACUCCCGAAACUGCAUUCGAUACUGCCGUGCUUGAGGACUGGAGAGGAGACUGGAAUUUACGGUGUAGCGGUGAAAUGCGUAGAUAUCGAUAAGGAAGACCAGUGGCGAAGGCGGGUCUCUGGACAGUUCCUGACGCUGAGGCACGAAGGUCAGGGGAGCAAACGGG
rnacentral:rRNA from 1 species